rnacentral:rRNA from 1 species
UACGGGGGGUGCGAGCGUUGUCCGGAAUCACUGGGCGUAAAGGGCGCGUAGGUGGCCUGGUAAGGGUGUGGUGAAAGUCCGGGGCUCAACCCCGGAUCGGCCGUGCAGACUGUUAGGCUAGAGUACUGUAGGGGCAGGCGGAAUUCCGGGUGUAGCGGUGGAAUGCGUAGAGAUCCGGAGGAAGACCGGUGGCGAAGGCGGCCUGCUGGGCAGUUACUGACACUGAGGCGCGACAGCGUGGGGAGCAAACAGG